UUGCUUUAGGGAUGAACGAGUCCUGAAAUUAAAAUGUAUUUCAUAAUCAUCCGUCACUUUGUCAGCAGUAUUUUCCUUUAUUUCUUGCUGAUCAUACAGGAUGAUACAUGU